UACAGAGGUCCCAAGCGUUGUUCGGAUUCACUGGGCGUAAAGGGUGCGUAGGCGGUCGGGUAAGUCUGACGUGAAAUCCCCCGGCUUAACCAGGGAACUGCGUCUGAUACUGGAUGGCUUGAGUUUGGGAGAGGGAUGCGGAAUUCCAGGUGUAGCGGUGAAAUGCGUAGAUAUCUGGAGGAACACCGGUGGCGAAGGCGACAUCCUGGACCAACACUGACGCUGAGUGAGCGAAAGCCAGGGGAGCAAACGGG
rnacentral:rRNA from 1 species